rnacentral:rRNA from 1 species
GGGCGUGGGGCAGCUACACAUGCAGUCGAGCGGAUGAAGGAGCUUGCUCCUGGAUUCAGCGGCGGACGGGUGAGUAAUGCCUAGGAAUCUGCCUGGUAGUGGGGGACAACGUUUCGAAAGGAACGCUAAUACCGCAUACGUCCUACGGGAGAAAGCAGGGGACCUUCGGGCCUUGCGCUAUCAGAUGAGCCUAGGUCGGAUUAGCUAGUUGGUGAGGUAAUGGCUCACCAAGGCGACGAUCCGUAACUGGUCUGAGAGGAUGAUCAGUCACACUGGAACUGAGACACGGUCCAGACUCCUACGGGAGGCAGCAGUGGGGAAUAUUGGACAAUGGGCGAAAGCCUGAUCCAGCCAUGCCGCGUGUGUGAAGAAGGUCUUCGGAUUGUAAAGCACUUUAAGUUGGGAGGAAGGGUUGUAGAUUAAUACUCUGCAAUUUUGACGUUACCGACAGAAUAAGCACCGGCUAACUCUGUGCCAGCAGCCGCGGUAAUACAGAGGGUGCAAGCGUUAAUCGGAAUUACUGGGCGUAAAGCGCGCGUAGGUGGUUUGUUAAGUUGGAUGUGAAAUCCCCGGGCUCAACCUGGGAACUGCAUCCAAAACUGGCAAGCUAGAGUAUGGUAGAGGGUGGUGGAAUUUCCUGUGUAGCGGUGAAAUGCGUAGAUAUAGGAAGGAACACCAGUGGCGAAGGCGACCACCUGGACUGAUACUGACACUGAGGUGCGAAAGCGUGGGGAGCAAACAGGUAAACCC